rnacentral:rRNA from 1 species
UACGAAGGGGGCGAGCGUUGUUCGGAUUUACUGGGCGUAAAGCGCGCGCAGGCGGCUAUCCAAGUCAGUGGUGAAAGCCCGGAGCUCAACUCCGGAACUGCCAUUGAAACUGUUUAGCUUGAGUAUGAGAGAGGUGAGUGGAAUUCCCAGUGUAGAGGUGAAAUUCGUAGAUAUUGGGAAGAACACCGGUGGCGAAGGCGGCUCACUGGCUCAUUACUGACGCUCAGGCGCGACAGCGUGGGGGAUCAAACAGG